GUUUGGGAAUGCAGCUCAAAAUGGGUGGUAAAUUUCAUCUAAAGCUAAAUACUGGCUGGAGACCGAUAGCGCACAAGUAGAGUGAUCGAAAGAUGAAAAGCACUUUGGAAAGAGAGUCAAACAGUACGUGAAAUUGUUGAAAGGGAAGCGCUGGCAACCAGACCUGUCCGUAGGCGAUCAGUCGCUGUUCUCAGCGGUGCACUCGCUCUGCGAUCAGGCCAGCAUCGGUUUAGGCGGCUGGAUAAAGGCUCCGGAAAUGUAGCUCCUCUCGGGGAGUGUUAUAGACCGCGGUGCAAUGCAGCCAGCCUGGACCGAGGACCGCGCUUCGGCUAGGAUGCUGGCGUAAUGGUUGUCAGCGACCCGUCUUGAAACACGGACCAAGGAGUCUAACAUCUAUGCGAGUGUUUGGGUGUUAAACCCAUGCGCGGAAUGAAAGUGAACGGAGGUGAGAACCCUUAAGGGCGCAUCAUCGACCGAUCCAGAUGUCUUCGGAUGGAUUUGAGUAUGAGCAUAGCUGUUGGGACCCGAAAGGUGACAUGAACCAACCCCUAUUAAUAACAAGAGCCUAUGCUAACAUUUUUGAAAGAUGGUGAACUAUGCCUGAAUAGGGUGAAGCCAGAGGAAACUCUGGUGGAGGCUCGCAGCGGUUCUGACGUGCAAAUCGAUCGUCAAAUUUGGGUAUAGGGGUAAGCAUCCCCUGUGGAAAUGAACAUUUAGAAAGGCAACACUGACAUGCGUUGCAGGCGAAAGACUAAUCGAACCAUCUACAGGUGGUUAAUAAAAGUAUAUCGUUCCCCGAAUACUUUCAGUCCCUCGGGGCGACAUCACUACUUGCAUGAACAAACCUUCGGGUUGACAUGCUGCAGUUCUUCUCACUUAUGUGGGUCCUGUUCACAGACCAAAUAGUGGUGGCCGGGUUAUCCUUUUAGGGAUGCUUGGUUUAGAAAUGGCCGAGUCCUACUCGUAAUUGAGUCGGUCCUGGGACGGUGGACAUAUUUUUGAUCCCCCCGUUGCGGGACCUUUAAGUAACGACGCUAGUAGCUGGUUCCUGCCGAAGUUUCCCUCAGGAUAGCAGUAACGUUUUCAGUUUUAUGAGGUAAAGCGAAUGAUUAGAGGCCUUGGGGUUGAAACAACCUUAACCUAUUCUCAAACUUUAAAUAUGUAAGAAGUCCUUGUUACUUAGUUGAACGUGGACAUUUGAAUGCACCGUUACUAGUGGGCCAUUUUUGGUAAGCAGAACUGGCGAUGCGGGAUGAACCGAACGCGAGGUUAAGGUGCCGGAAUGCACGCUCAUCAGACACCACAAAAAGUGUUGUUUCAUCUAGACAGCCGGACGGUGGCCAUGGAAGUCGGAAACCGCUAAGGAGUGUGUAACAACUCACCGGCCGAAUGAACCAGCCUUGAAAAUGGA
rnacentral:rRNA from 1 species